GGUUGCGUGCGAGUGCGGCGGCUACAACUAUGCUAUGCUAUGGGGGUGGAGCGAACAGCCGUAGAGGGAGGAAGGGGUGGAUUAGAGCGCCCGCCGGUGUGUUCUCGCUGGGGGGAGGGGUGGAAGGGGUCGGGGUAGGGGUGGACUCCGGCGGCUCGUCGGGUUAAGGGGACCUCCCUUUUAAAAUGGACCCGUGCGGCACGGCUACUCGACUCCGCACCGGCGCAAGAGGGGGACCGAUGCCGCGGUUAUUCGGGGGCUGCGCCGCCGCCUCCGGCGGCGCGGCCGACGCCACCGCCCCGUACGCCGCUGCACCUGCGGCGCGAGACGCUGCUGGACGACGUCCUCCACAAGGCGGACGAGGGCGGGCGGCGGCCCGGCCGGCAGAGGGAGCAGAGGGCGGCGACCCAGCGCGAGGAGGCUCGGAGGUGCAGGGCGGAGUGGGAGGCGGACGGCGGCCGGAAGUGGCCUCGUAGCCGGAGGCGCCGACGCCCAGGAGACCGACUGGACGAGAGCGCGAUGGGCAUAGAUAGGCGCGACCGGCAGCAGAGGCGCAGGAGCCGGCGGCGAGUGCUGCGGCUGCGCGAGGACGAGCGCCACAGGCGGAGCGGCAGCCGGUGGUCCGAGUGCCGCGACGCCAAGAGCCAGCCAAGCGGGCAGAGCGGGCGACGUGACGCGCUGCAGAGGCAGUGGGAGAGGCCGGAGUGGAGCGAGGUGGAGCGGCGGCAGUCGGGGGACAGCAAGGCAACCGAGCGGACGAACGGGACGGAGUUUAGGAAGCGGAAACAGUUGAGGCGGCAACGACGGCAACUGAGCCGGCCAAGGUCGAGGCUACUUCUGAGGUCGACGCUCCCGCUGCGGCAUCCCCGCAACGGAGACCUCUCCGACAGCGACACGCCGUAGGCGAGGCCGCUGGUGCCUGAGCCCACCGAUACCGUCGCGACACCCUCGGAUGCCACCGACGUCGACGCGCGAACGCUGCCGUAGCCUCUACCGGGGCGCAGCUUACGGAAGAGUCCUACGGAGCGGCCGGACGAGCUCGAACUCGAGGCGCGAACGGCUUGGCAGCGGCUGGCGCAGGAGGAGUAGCGGCGACUGGCCACGACACGAGAGUUCAGAGAGGACCACAUACUGCCGCCGUCGUCCCUCCGGGAAGAGGUCAAGUAGGCAGCCGCGCCGCGCCGUGACGUAUGGAACCUGGAGGCGGACGGAGAGCUGGACGUGUUACUGGUGGAGGAACGUUAACCGCGUCUCGUUCCGGUGCUGUGGGCCCCGUCAGAACGGCACGAAGCGGAAGUUUCGACACAGGAGCAGUGCCCCCUGCCCGAGGCAAGAGAGCGCGCGUGCCGGUAACCCCGCCCGUAGUUUCUUCAGCGGGACCACUCGACGCUGCAUCAACUUGCCCUCGGACCCGACGAGUGCAAGGAGUCGGUCUCGUACGCGGUGGAGGCGGCCGAACUAGACAGAAUGUUGCUCUGGGACUUCCUGUUCCUCUAACCUCGGUACGAUAGUAGAACGGCCUUAGAUUAACUGUAGGCCAAAUCCCCAACGGCGCCGUAAUGGCCACUUAGCGAUGAGAGUAACGAAUCCGUGACACCCGUCUGUCACCUCCAACACCUGUAGAGGGCGACGGGACGGUAAUUUCCCCGGUCACAGCUUGAGAAACGUGUCGCUCGGCGGGCAAACUUGGUAAACCAGUAGCUCCUCUCGAACCACAGCCUCCUUGACUUCCGCUAACGUGCCUGCUUUGCGUACCUCCAACCGGGUAACGGAACACUUCCUAGUAAGACUGCAUACCAUUUAGAAGAAGUCUACUUUGAGUAGCUUCGACCCUAAAUUCUUAGAAUAUGACGUACAAGUUAUUCCUUUUACGAAAGGAAGACAUAUUAUGGGACCACCCUUACACACAUUUAGAAGAAUUGACACUUGAACAGUACUUUUUCGAGGAGAACGACGGACCGUACAUUUAACUCGUCGUUCUUAACACGAUAACAUGUACACAGUUAGUUUCUUUAUUUUAACCUUAAUAAUGUACUCAAAGGGAAAUAAAAAUCACUCAUUACAUAUUAAUACGUUCUCGACAUACUAAAUAAAUCUAUUUCGAUGUUGGUUUAUUAAACUACGGUGAGGACAAGACGUUCAUGAAAAAUCCCAAUAUUAAGGCCAAACACUCAAACCACCUCAGCAUUUUUGUCUAGUCUACGACUUGUACAAAAGUUUGAUGAGGGAGGCAUUUCUUUAUAUUCUCGCAAAUGUAGUGAGAAAUCACUAGAUCUACGAGAAUAUAAAGAAAUGCCUCCCUCAUGUAAGUAAGUAACAAAGUCUAUAACUACAAGAGUUUGAUGAAGCAUGAGUAUAUCGAAGUCUUAUAACUAAGUUUCUACAUGAGUCCUAUUCGUAUUCAAGUCCAUACCUACCCUUCUUGUAGCCUACAUCUAAGUAACUUCAGCCAUCAAGACGUAAAACAAAACAAAAUAUUAGUAUCAUACAAAGUGAGUAGCACUCUAGUCGUACAGAGUCGAUUUACUCCGUUCAGUCUAAAGAACGACACCAGAAUUGGAGAAGAUAAGAUGAGGGAGGCAAGGAUUUAUAUUCAGAAACAUCUCUAAGGUGAUACUUGGUAUAUGCCUACAUAUAUCUACGUAAAAUUCACAUCUAAGUAAGUAAAACGAGGAAUACAUCAGGUUCAUCACCUUAGGGAUGUUUUUGAAUAUAAAACCUUGCCUCCCUCAUGUACUA
rnacentral:rRNA from 1 species